GAUGAAGAACGCAGUGAAAUGCGAUACUUGGUGUGAAUUGCAGAAUCCCGUGAACCAUCGAGUCUUUGAACGCAAGUUGCGCCCGAAGCCAUUAGGCCGAGGGCACGCCUGCCUGGGCGUCACACGUCGUUGCCCCCCCAUCUAAUCCUUCGGGAUUGCGGGGGGCGGAUGAUGGCCUCCCGUGCGCCUCGUCGCGCGGUUGGCAUAAAUGCCAAGUCCUCGGCGACGCACGCCACGACAAUCGGUGGUUGCGAAACCUCGGUUGCCCGUCGUGUGCGGUCGUCGCGCAUCGAGGGCUCGAAAAAAUUGCCGGGCUCCGGCUCGACUUUCAACGCGACCCCAGGUCAGGCGGGGUUACCCGCUGAAUUUAAGCAUAUCAAUAAGCGGAGGA
rnacentral:misc_RNA from 1 species